rnacentral:rRNA from 1 species
AGCUUGCUCUUAUGAAGUUAGCGGCGGACGGGUGAGUAACACGUGGGUAACCUGCCCAUAAGACUGGGAUAACUCCGGGAAACCGGGGCUAAUACCGGAUAACAUUUUGCACCGCAUGGUGCGAAAUUCAAAGGCGGCUUCGGCUGUCACUUAUGGAUGGACCCGCGUCGCAUUAGCUAGUUGGUGAGGUAACGGCUCACCAAGGCAACGAUGCGUAGCCGACCUGAGAGGGUGAUCGGCCACACUGGGACUGAGACACGGCCCAGACUCCUACGGGAGGCAGCAGUAGGGAAUCUUCCGCAAUGGACGAAAGUCUGACGGAGCAACGCCGCGUGAGUGAUGAAGGCUUUCGGGUCGUAAAACUCUGUUGUUAGGGAAGAACAAGUGCUAGUUGAAUAAGCUGGCACCUUGACGGUACCUAACCAGAAAGCCACGGCUAACUACGUGCCAGCAGCCGCGGUAAUACGUAGGUGGCAAGCGUUAUCCGGAAUUAUUGGGCGUAAAGCGCGCGCAGGUGGUUUCUUAAGUCUGAUGUGAAAGCCCACGGCUCAACCGUGGAGGGUCAUUGGAAACUGGGAGACUUGAGUGCAGAAGAGGAAAGUGGAAUUCCAUGUGUAGCGGUGAAAUGCGUAGAGAUAUGGAGGAACACCAGUGGCGAAGGCGACUUUCUGGUCUGUAACUGACACUGAGGCG